rnacentral:rRNA from 1 species
GGGGGGUAGNUCCAGGUGUAGCGUGAAUGCGUAGAGAUCUGAGGAAUACCGGUGGCGAAGGCGGCCCCUGGACGAAGACUGACGCUCAGGUGCGAAAGCGUGGGGAGCAACAGGAUUAGAUACCUGGUAGUCACGCGUAAACGAUGUCGACUUGGAGGUUGUGCCCUUGAGGCGUGGCUUCCGGAGCUAACGCGUUAAGUCGACCGCCUGGGGAGUACGGCCGCAAGGUUAAAACUCAAAUGAAUUGACGGGGGCCCGCACAAGCGGUGGAGCAUGUGGUUUAAUUCGAUGCAACGCGAAGAACCUUACCUGGUCUUGACAUCCACGGAAGUUUUCAGAGAUGAGAAUGUGCCUUCGGGAACCGUGAGACAGGUGCUGCAUGGCUGUCGUCAGCUCGUGUUGUGAAAUGUUGGGUUAAGUCCCGCAACGAGCGCAACCCUUAUCCUUUGUUGCCAGCGGUCCGGCCGGGAACUCAAAGGAGACUGCCAGUGAUAAACUGGAGGAAGGUGGGGAUGACGUCAAGUCAUCAUGGCCCUUACGACCAGGGCUACACACGUGCUACAAUGGCGCAUACAAAGAGAAGCGACCUCGCGAGAGCAAGCGGACCUCAUAAAGUGCGUCGUAGUCCGGAUUGGAGUCUGCAACUCGACUCCAUGAAGUCGGAAUCGCUAGUAAUCGUGGAUCAGAAUGCCACGGUGAAUACGUUCCCGGGCCUUGUACACACCGCCCGUCACACCAUGGGAGUGGGUUGCAAAAGAAGUAGGUAGCUUAACCUUCGGGAGGGCGCUUACCACUUUGUGAUUCAUGACUGGGGUGAAGUCGCAACAAGGUAACCGUAGGGGAACCCGCGGCUGGAUCACCUCCUU